GACGAACGCUGGCGGCGUGCUUAAUACAUGCAAGUUGAACGCUGAAGGUCUGUCCUUUUAUCAGCUGGAUGAGUGGCGAACGGGUGAGUAACACGUGAGUAACCUGCCUUCUACCUUGGGAUAACGUUUGGAAACGGAUGCUAAUACCGCAUAAUAACUGUUAUCACCAGUUUUAUGUUUGAAAAAUUUAAUUUUGUCACUCAAUGAUGGUCCGGCGUUCUAUUAGGUUGUUGGUGGGGUGACGUCUCACCACUUCGAUGACGGGUAGCCGGCAUGAGAGGGUGACCGGGGACAUUGGGAAUGAGAAAAGGCCCAGACGACUACGGGAGGCAGAAGUGGGGAAUAUUGAACAAUGGGCGAAAGACUGAUGCAGCGACGGCGAGGGAGGGAUGGAGGCCGUAGGGUUGUAAACCUAUUGCGCUCAUGGUGAAGCCGCAAAUGUGGGUUGUGGUGAGGGUAGUGGGUAAAGAAGCGCCGGCUAACUACGUG
rnacentral:rRNA from 1 species